CCACUUUGUGAUUCAUGACUGGGGUGAAGUCGUAACAAGGUAACCGUAGGGGAACCUGCGGUUGGAUCACCUCCUUACCUUAAAGAA
rnacentral:rRNA from 8 species